GACGAACGCUGGCGGCGUGCCUAAUACAUGCAAGUAGAACGCUGAAGGAGGAGCUUGCUUCUCUGGAUGAGUUGCGAACGGGUGAGUAACGCGUAGGUAACCUGCCUGGUAGCGGGGGAUAACUAUUGGAAACGAUAGCUAAUACCGCAUAAUAGUAGAUGUUGCAUGACAUUUGCUUAAAAGGUGCAAUUGCAUCACUACCAGAUGGACCUGCGUUGUAUUAGCUAGUUGGUGAGGUAACGGCUCACCAAGGCGACGAUACAUAGCCGACCUGAGAGGGUGAUCGGCCACACUGGGACUGAGACACGGCCCAGAAUCCUACGGGAGGCAGCAGUAGGGAAUCUUCGGCAAUGGACGGAAGGCUGACCGAGCAACGCCGCGUAAGUGAAGAAGGUUUUCGGAUCGUAAAGCUCUGUUGUAAGAGAAGAAAGAGUGUGAGAGUGGAAAGUUCACACUGUGACGGUAUCUUACCAGAAAGGGACGGCUAACUACGUG
rnacentral:rRNA from 1 species